CCACUCUCAGGGUCGUACCUGGAGAGUUUCCAGCACUCUGCCAGUCUUGGCUACCGGAGAGAGAGUCAAGCAGAGGCUUACCCGUUCCAUCCCUAGCUUGGGCAGUGGCUAGCAAGUGGAAGGCAAUCCGCUACAAAU